rnacentral:rRNA from 1 species
UACGGGGGGGGCAAGCGUUGUUCGGAAUUACUGGGCGUAAAGGGCUCGUAGGCGGCCAACUAAGUCGGACGUGAAAUCCCCAGGCUCAACCUGGGAACUGCGUCCGAUACUGGAUGGCUUGAAUUCGGGAGAGGGAUGCAGAAUUCCAGGUGUAGCGGUGAAAUGCGUAGAUAUCUGGAGGAACACCGGUGGCGAAGGCGGCAUCCUGGACCGGUAUUGACGCUGAGGCGCGAAAGCUAGGGGAGCAAACGGG